ensembl:snRNA U6 U6 spliceosomal RNA
UUGCUUCCGGAGCACCCAUACGAAAACUGGAACAAUACAGAAAAGAUUAACAUGGCCCCUCCCCCGGAUGGCAUGCAAAUUAGGGGAGUGUUCCAUAGGGAA